rnacentral:tRNA from 1 species
GCGGCCUUGGCGGAACUGGCAGACGCCUCGCGUUUAGGGCGCGAUGGGAGCAAUCCCGUGAGGGUUCGAAUCCCUCAGGCCGCACCC